rnacentral:rRNA from 1 species
UACGUAGGGUGCGAGCGUUGUCCGGAAUUACUGGGCGUAAAGAGCUCGUAGGUGGUUUGUCGCGUUGUCCGUGAAAACUCACAACUCAAUUGUGGGCGUGCGGGCGAUACGGGCAGACUGGAGUACUGCAGGGGAGACUGGAAUUCCCGGUGUAGCGGUGAAAUGCGCAGAGAUCGGGAGGAACACCCGUAGCGAAGGCGGCACUCUGGGCCGGUACUGACGCUGAGGAGCGAAAGCGUGGGGAGCAAACAGG